rnacentral:rRNA from 1 species
AAGCCAGACUCCUACGGGAGGCAGCAGUGGGGGAUAUUGCACAAUGGGGGGAACCCUGAUGCAGCGACGCCGCGUGGGUGAAGAAGCGCCUCGGCGCGUAAAGCCCUGUCAGCAGGGAAGAAAAUGACGGUACCUGAAGAAGAAGCCCCGGCUAACUACGUGCCAGCAGCCGCGGUAAUACGUAGGGGGCAAGCGUUAUCCGGAUUUACUGGGUGUAAAGGGGGCGCAGACGGCGAUGCAAGCCAGGAGUGAAAGCCCGGGGCCCAACCCCGGGACUGCUCUUGGAACUGCGUGGCUGGAGUGCAGGAGGGGCAGGCGGAAUUCCUGGUGUAGCGGUGAAAUGCGUAGAUAUCAGGAGGAACACCGGUGGCGAAGGCGGCCUGCUGGACUGCAACUGACGUUGAGGCCCGAAAGCGUGGGGAGCAAACAGGAUUAGAUACCCGAGUAC